AGUCGAACGAGAAUCUGUGGAAAGAGGAUUCGUCCAAUUGAAGCAGAGGACAGUGGCGGACGGGUGAGUAACGCGUGAGGAACCUGCCUUUCAGAGGGGGACAACAGUUGGAAACGACUGCUAAUACCGCAUAACAUAUAGAUGUCGCAUGGCAUUUAUAUCAAAGAUUUAUCGCUGAAAGAUGGCCUCGCGUCUGAUUAGCUAGUUGGUGAGGUAACGGCCCACCAAGGCGACGAUCAGUAGCCGGACUGAGAGGUUGAACGGCCACAUUGGGACUGAGAUACGGCCCAGACUCCUACGGGAGGCAGCAGUGGGGAAUAUUGGGCAAUGGGCGCAAGCCUGACCCAGCAACGCCGCGUGAAGGAAGAAGGCUUUCGGGUUGUAAACUUCUUUUGUCAGGGACGAGUAGAAGACGGUACCUGACGAAUAAGCCACGGCUAACUACGUGCCAGCAGCCGCGGUAAUACGUAGGUGGCAAGCGUUGUCCGGAUUUACUGGGUGUAAAGGGCGUGUAGCCGGGAGGGCAAGUCAGAUGUGAAAUCCACGGGCUCAACUCGCGAACUGCAUUUGAAACUACUCUUCUUGAGUAUCGGAGAGGCAAUCGGAAUUCCUAGUGUAGCGGUGAAAUGCGUAGAUAUUAGGAGGAACACCAGUGGCGAAGGCGGAUUGCUGGACGACAACUGACGGUGAGG
rnacentral:rRNA from 1 species